UACGUAGGGAGCAAGCGUUGUCCGGAAUCAUUGGGCGUAAAGCGCGCGUAGGUGGCUCUGUAAGUCCGUUGUGAAAGCCAAAGGCUCAACCUUUGAAAGCCGAUGGAUACUGCAGAGCUAGAGUACGGGAGAGGCGAGUGGAAUUCCUGGUGUAGCGGUGGAAUGCGUAGAUAUCAGGAGGAACACCAAUAGCGAAGGCAGCUCGCUGGGACGUAACUGACGCUGAGGCGCGAAAGCGUGGGGAGCGAACAGG
rnacentral:rRNA from 1 species